rnacentral:rRNA from 1 species
UAGGGAAUCUUCCACAAUGGACGCAAGUCUGAUGGAGCAACGCCGCGUGAGUGAAGAAGGUUUUCGGACCGUAAAGCUCUGUUGUUGGUGAAGAAGGAUAGAGGUAGUAACUGGCCUUUAUUUGACGGUAAUCAACCAGAAAGUCACGGCUAACUACGUGCCAGCAGCCGCGGUAAUACGUAGGUGGCAAGCGUUGUCCGGAUUUAUUGGGCGUAAAGCGAGCGCAGGCGGAAGAAUAAGUCUGAUGUGAAAGCCCUCGGCUUAACCGAGGAAUUGCAUCGGAAACUGUUUUCUUGAGUGCAGAAGAGGAGAGUAGAACUCCAUGUGUAGCGGUGGAAUGCGUAGAUAUAUGGAAGAAUACCAGUGGCGAAGGCGGCACUCUGGUCUGCAAACUGACGCUGAG